rnacentral:rRNA from 1 species
AAUUGGAGGGCAAGUCUGGUGCCAGCAGCCGCGGUAAUUCCAGCUCCAAUAGCGUAUAUUAAAGUUGUUGCAGUUAAAAAGCUCGUAGUUGAAUUUCGGGAUUGACACAUCGGUCGUGCCUUAAGGGGUAUGAACUGGUGUAGUCAAUUUCUCACCUUCUGGAGAACCGCGAUGCCCUUAAUUGGGUGUCACGGGGAACCAGGACCUUUACUUUGAAAAAAUUAGAGUGUUUAAAGCAGGCAUUUUGCUUGAAUACAUUAGCAUGGAAUAAUAAAAUAGGACGGCAUGAUUCUAUUUUGUUGGUUUCUAGGAUCGCCGUAAUGAUUAAUAGGGAUAGUUGGGGGCAUUAGUAUUCAAUUGUCAGAGGUGAAAUUCUUGGAUUUAUUGAAGACUAACUACUGCGAAAGCAUUUGCCAAGGAUGUUUUCAUUAAUCAAGAACGAAAGUUAGGGGAUCGAAGACGAUCAGAUACCGUCGUAGUCUUAACCAUAAACUAUGCCGACUAGGAAUCAGACGAUGUUAAUUUUUUAAUGACUCGUUUGGCACCUUACGGGAAACCAAAGUGU